AUUGAACGCUGGCGGCAGGCCUCACACAUGCAAGUCGAACGAGGGGCGGACGGGUGAGAAAUGUCUGGGACACUGCGUGAUGGAGGGGGAUAAAUACUGAAAACGGUCGCUAAUACCGCAUACCAUGGGAUGGGCCCAGUUGGGAUUCGCUAGUAGGGGGGGUAACGGCUCACAUAGGCGACGAUCCAUAGCUGGUCUGAGAGGAUGACCAGCCACACUGUAACUGAGACACGGUCCAGACGCCUACGGGAGGCAGCAGUGGGGAAGAUUGCACAAUGGGCGCAAGCCUGAUGAAGCCAUGCCGCGUGUAUGAAGAAGGCCUUCGGGUUGUAAAGUACUGUCAGCGGGGAGGCGUUACCCGCAGAAGAAGCACCGGCUAACUCCGUGCCAGCAGCCGCGGUAAUUC
rnacentral:rRNA from 1 species